GUCCUCUUGAAAUUAUCAAGACAUGCCUGGUACUUUAAGAGGUUGAGUAAGAUUUUGUUAAUCAUACCAAAGAACAGGGUUAUUAGCACCUUCACAUGGAAAGUUCAUAGAAUUUGUGUGAAUUUAGUUAACAUGACAUUAAAUUUUUUUCUGAGGCAUACAGGUAAAGGAUAAUUCUGGUUGUGUAAGCAUGUACUCGUGUUUAUUUAACGUUUGCAUUAAAGUCUUAAGUCGGAGUUUUAACGUUUUUUAAAUAUACUUUAUCAAAGCCUAGCUCCCUUCCAACUAGUAAAUUCAAUUAAACGGUGAAAAUUAGACACCUGCGGUUAGAAAUGUGGUGUUAGAUCUGACACGUGAAUGAGCCCUUGGGAAAUCCUUCCCCAGCAUCCUCCCUCUCUCUAAGCACAGACCUCUUCCUCCCGUCUGUCUUUUGGUCGUGAUGAUGGGGGGUGAGGGGGGUAGGGAAGGGGGGUCGGCUAAGAAUAAAAAGUCACCGAAUUACCUCGCUUCCCGACCAACCACCCUCUUAGCCUAAGUCCCUAGUUGGCAGGUUACCUAGCCACCAGUGUCUCGAUUACGCACACUAGGUGCACUGUGACCCGAGAUCAGCACCCUUUCCGUGCUUUCUGCACCAUCCGCCAUCGGCGCCUGACUCAUUCAAGACCGCGGGGAGGGCUGGGCAGUGAAUGUCCAUCCAGCGUGCAGUUCAAACCCCACAGGCCCAGGGAAGAGGUGGGUGGGCCAGGCCUCGGAGGAACGGACCCCCAGAGACCCGCCAGGGGCCUCAGGGGGAGGGGCCCAAUGGGGCUUUCCCUCUAACCCCCGCAGCCACUCAGUCGGGCGCAGGAGACACCGGAACCUCCCUCCGCCCUGGGACCGCCCUCCCCCCCGGAUUCGGGGGAGGGGCGCCGGGGCAAAGAGACACCCCUCCCCCCACCGGGGACACGGCUAGGCCGCCACUCGCCCUAUUCUGAAAAGCCCCGCAGGCCUGUGCCCACCCUCCUCCUGCGAGCCUGGGUCCGGUCUGGUGCGGGAAAGUGGGCAAAAGGGGAGGUUCGGCUGCGAUACCAACCUCGCUGUUGAAGAUUUUCACAGCCUCCAUGUUGUCGGUGCGGAGGCCCCGAGCCCGGCGGCGGAAGAGGCGGCGGCCACUGCACUGGGCUCCUGUUUCACCUCCCCGCCGCUCGGGCGGCAGGAACCCGCGGCGCCAGGCGAAGACGGAGGAGGAAGCGCUGGCAGCAGCAGCUGCGGCAUCCAAUAUGGCGGAACCGAGUCCGGCCGCGUAGCUCCGAGAUCCGCGGCGCCGGCCAGCGCGCCCCCUGGCGGCUGGACCGCGAGGCCCGGGCGGCCGCUCGGAAACCAUAGAGGAGUGCGGGCCAGAGCGUCGUCGCCCGGAGGCCCGGCUCCUCCGGCCCCGGGACUGCCCGCUCCCGGCCCCUUUCCCGCGCCCGGCCCACGCGGGGGGCGAUCGCAAUAACACCGUGGAGCUCCUCCGCCGACCCGUGGAGGACUGUGUAAAGCGUUGCUCGAAAUAAAAAUCAAACGCCCCUACAAAAACUCAAGUUUAGGAAAUAACAUUGUCCACGUUUUUUGUUGCCAUGUGGAUUUACCCUUUCGCGGAGUGGCCGGGUUUAGUUACUAUUGAGAACUUGACCGGACAGUGGCUUAGAGGUUAGCAGACGAAAGAAAACUUCCUAGUCAUUCAUUUAUUUGCUGAUGAUGUGCCCAAGCAUUUUGAAAGCGUGGGGAGGAAACGUUAGAAACAAAAGCUUCGGAGCCGGGCGGGGGCAGAGGGACGGGGAAGCUCGCUCGCAGCCCGCGAGCAGCGCGGUGCAGGAAAUGCACGCUCGUAAAAUCCCGGGGACUGGGGUGGCACAGACAAUGGGUGCAUUUGUCUGGGCGCCAGAAAGCGGAGCCUCAGAUGCACAAGUUUUGGUUAGGUGAAAGGGAACCCAUUUUUGUGGGAAAUGAGUUAUUCUAAAGGAAUUUUGCCCGAGGUUGUUUGAAGUAAGAGUGAAUACAGUAUUCCUAGAGGAAACGGGAGAUGCUGCUAGCAAAAAUGCCUCCUCUCUCACUUUGUGCAAUGUAAAAUCACCAGUACCAAAAUAAAAGUGAACUUUUAUUUAGAA